rnacentral:tRNA from 1 species
AGAAAUAUGUCUGACAAAAGAGUUACUUUGAUAGAGUAAAUAAUAGAGGUUYAAGCCCUCUUAUUUCUNANCUUCUA